rnacentral:rRNA from 1 species
AUUGAACGCUGGCGGCAGUCUUAACACAUGCACGUCGAGCGAGCGGCGGACGGGUGAGUAAUGUCUGGGAAACUGCCUGAUGGAUGGGGAUAACUACUGGAAACGGUAGCUAAUACCGCAUACCAUCAGAUGUGCCCAGAUGGGCUUCGCUAGUAGGUGGGGUAAUGGCGAACCUAGGCGACGAUCCCUAGCUGGUCUGAGAGGAUGACCAGCGAAACUGGAACUGGGACACGGUCCAGAGUCCUACGGGAGGCAGAAGUGGGGAAGAUUGCACAAGGGGGGAAAGCCUGAUGCAGCCAUGCCGCGUAUGUGAAGAAGGCCGUCGGGUUGAAAAGAACUUUCAGCGAGGAGGCGUUACGCGCAGAAGAAGCACCGGCUAACUCCGUGCCAGACGCCGCGGUAAUUC